UUUUGACAAAAGAUAAGAAAUGACAUAGAGCGUGUAUAACAAGUUAUAUGUCCCUCUAAUAUCUGUCCACUCCAGAGUUCCGGGGGACGCGCUUUGAGGAUGACAGGUAUUGAGCUCAAGUAUGGAUCUGAUUUGAGAACUGAUAAAAGACUGACAAAGUGCUGGAUGUGCCUAACGACUGCAGGACAAGUCAUUCAAAGAACGACAGAGUUGGACUGCACUAUCUGUCAACUUAUUGAAUGCAGAUGCUACUACUACUACUGCUGUAGACAAAGAUGCCAACAUGUGUCUACUACAUGAAGUUGAAACAGCGGACCUUGGAGUGCCUAGAGAGCCCCAGGUAGGCAG
rnacentral:lncRNA from 1 species